GGCGUCGUCUCCGGUAAAACUCCGGAGGAUUGCUCCUUACAGAGUAUCUCGCCCUGGAGGCGAGUAAAAGACUAUUCAAAUGGAAAAAGAACCUCUAGUUAAGAGCCCUGGUGGGCAGAGACCUCUGGGAGUGUUAGCUCACUGAAGGAGUGCGCAGGCGCAGGCUUCGUGGCUUGCCGUCGUCGCCUUUGUCUGGAGCAGCUUCCUGUGUACCUCCAGGACCGGAAGUUUCUCUACCCUCCAAACCUCUCUUGAGUGCUGAGACUUCAGUCUGACUUGCAGCUGCUGCUUUGAUUUGCCGAGAUAGCAUCUGAGUCCUGAGUCGCUUUACUGGUUACAAGUUAAAAGUCUGCGGUUCAAACAAAAAACCUGGGUGUCUGAGAAGAACAUCGAUCUGCGGACGCAGCCUCUGGAGUUUAUACACAGAUAAGGACACAGGAUGAAAGACUCAUGAGUUAAGU
rnacentral:lncRNA from 1 species